UCCACAGGAGCCACCAGCUAAAAUGAUGUAUAGGUUGUCCUAAAUUGUAGCAUCAGGCUGGUACCUUGUCAGAUGCUACAGAAACAGCUCCAAGUCGCCUUUGUCCGGUCAGGUAGUUGCAGUGGUGGCAGCUCUGCGGGACUGUUGUAGCUGUUGAGGUAGAUGGGACCAUGGGCAUCCUCCCUGAGAUGUCACUGGUGGAAAGGUGGCCUGAGGAAAGCCUCCAGCGGUCCUGCAGCUGGGCCAUGCUUUGACUGAGCAUUCCACAUUUGGAGCGCUUAUCUGGGCUCAACCCCCACUAGCAAACGCUGGUGUACAUGGCCAAUUCCUGCUUCUUGCACCGAGGUCAGAGCAAGUGGUGCCUGGCGGGAGACCGGUGAAAAGAUCACGAAAGAAGCAGCUAUCAGCUGAUGACUUGUGCUGGGAGGCAGCAGGCGAGUAACCUUGCUCCAUUUUAUGGUAGUGCUUCACCUGCGAGUGCCCGCUGUGAGUGAAAUUGCCUGGGCUGGUGCUGUCCUUUAUCAAUUUCGCUCUCAGCAGGCUCCGCAGGUGAAGCGUUUCAUUGCAGGAGUCAGACUCCGCUCUCUCCUUGACAGCCUGAAAUAGGAGGUGGGGAAAGGAAAGAAGGUAAUAAAUGGCCAGAGAAAAGCAAAAGCAGAACAGAGGGUGGUGAGAAGCAGGAUGUGACUUAAACGGUAAUGGUAAUUCAUACUCAGCCCUCUAAUUCUGGGGGAAUUUGACACUGAAAAGAGCUUUACGUAGCUCUUUCAAGCUUUACAGUUAGACGUAAAAGAACUUCACAAUUAGAAGUGAAAAAUUAUGGUGAAUAGUAUUAUGUUUAAGAUGCUAUGUAAGAUGAUGUGGCUAAAAUUAAAAGAUAAUUUUCUUGAUCUUCAGCCUAAUGGAAUUAUAGCAGCUGUUUCCGGGAGAAAGCCAGGCAAAAAUUCUUUUUUUCUGUUUUUCUAAAGUCUGCAUUUCAGAUUUUUGUGGGCUUUGGGUUUUGUUUAUUUAUUGCCCCUUCUUAAGACAACCUGCAUGUGACUUUCAGCGUUGCUGGGCGCCUGAUGCCACUUCCCUUGACUUCAGAGAGUUAUUCAGCAUUCAAGAUGAGAACCAUGCAAAAUCAGUAACUGCCUCGGAACAUCUGACUGCCUGUUACUGAAGAAAGAAGCUCAGUGAUUCAGGGACAGGGAUAUCAAUGCAGCUUUAAAUUUCACAGACCCAUCUCUUUCCAGCCAGGAAACAUUUGAGGCGUGUAAAUGAGAGCCCUCCAUCCCCAAAGAGGCUGAGGCCUGAACUUCAGGCAGGAGUGAAAGCAUCCAACGAAGGAGCUGAGGGAAGCUCUGGAGAAAGAUAAACUGCCUGACUGGCAAGGUGUAUUAUGAGCCCCAUACAAGGCUUUGCAAUUGGAGUGCAGCAGCAGAUCAUCCAGAGAUGAGAAAAACCACUUCCUCCCGCCACCACCUCUAUGAAUCUGCACCAGGACCUGCUGACAGCUCUGCGCCACCCUCCUCAGCUCAAGUCGAGAGAAGUACCUGCCAUCAGAAACUCCAGAGUUGCUCAACACUUCUUCCCUGCUGCACAGUGCACAUGCAGAAGUGACCGCAAGGUGACUUUCCCCCAUAGACACUGGAGCAUCUUAUAAUAGGAUCAGCAUCACUAUGGCUUUGACACACGGAGCUGCAACACAGCAAAGAGAGAUGGAGCAGAAGUUGCAGAGGGUUCGGUGAAGCACAUCACCUGCCGCAAGUGGACUUCAGGGGAAAAGCUCUACAGGGAAGGCAGCUGCGGAAGAAUGCAGGGCUGGGCCCUGUGCAGGACCUGCACGGGAGUUUGGUACCAUUUUGUUGGGGGAGGACACCAAGAACCUCACCAGAAUUGCACCAUGGGGCUGAAUGUCUCCCUUCCCUGCUCCCAAUGACUUCUAACCUUUUCAAGGGUGUUAUUAUCUAACAGCCAAUUUUUCUUACAUCUUUGAACAAGGUCUUACUCAGAUGAACAUGGUCCUUCAUGAGGAAACCACAAAGUAAAAAAGGCAAUUCACCCUGAGGUGUUGCUCCCUACUUACUGUUCAGCCCUAGAAGUGCCUGGUAUCUAUUCCCGGUUUCCCAACUCGCGGCAAAAUCCUGUGGUACAUGGAGGUAUGAGUAGAUGCAUGUAGACAUGCACAUGCAUUUGUGUCCUGGGCUCUCAAUUCUGUUUUUAAUUGGAAAAUUCCAUUACAUUUGCAAUACACGUGGAUCCCAUGGGAUGCCCUGCUGCGUCGCCGGGGAAGCCCUUGGGUGCCACAGGCAGGGGCUGAUCCCGGGCUGGCUGUGGGGUGGGAGCAGGCGCCGUGUGGGAGCAGUGCAGGAGGCUGGACUGGCAGCACUGGCUGUGGUUACAUAUCCCCGGUGGUUUCUAUUGAGCAACGUCUUUUGGGUCUGUAUGGCUUUGGCCAGACAGGUUCGGUUUGGGUUUGGGUCUGGUUUUGCUGAAAGAUGGCCUCGGGGUGAGUGCUGCCAGAAAAUUCCCCCUAAAAAUGGCUUAAUGAUUUCUGAAAAUAAAAUUCAAGACAGAAAUUCCCUUUCAUGUGUGAAAAAAUAAUGCUGUGGUUUUGUAGAGAGGUGCUAGCCUCCCAAGGGAGCCAGCUAUUAAAGAGGGAUUACAGAGGGAUGUGCUUACAAGGAUGUGGCUAUUGGUUUUUUGCUUGCUGCACAAACUUUUGGCAUCCUCUGGCCAAGCUGCACGUCCCCCCAAAAUAUAAGCUCAGUAGAAAUGUUAGUGUUUGCUCUCAAAUCUCUGAGGGUCUCAUCCAUAUGCUGCUGCACAAAACU